CCUAACACAUGCAAGUGGAACGCACCUUCGGGUGAGUGGCAGACGGGUGAGUAACGCGUGGGAAUCUACCCAGUACUACGGAAUAACUCAGGGAAACUUGUGCUAAUACCGUAUACGCCCUCCGGGGGAAAGAUUUAUCGGUAUUGGAUGAGCCCGCGUUUGAUUAGCUAGUUGGUGAGGUAAUGGCUCACCAAGGCGACGAUCAAUAGCUGGUCUGAGAGGAUGAUCAGCCACACUGGGACUGAGACACGGCCCAGACUCCUACGGGAGGCAGCAGUGGGGAAUAUUGGACAAUGGGGGCAACCCUGAUCCAGCCAUGCCGCGUGAGUGAUGACGGCCCUAGGGUUGUAAAGCUCUUUCAACGGUGAAGAUAAUGACGGUAACCGUAGAAGAAGCCCCGGCUAACUUUGUGCCAGCAGCCGCGGUAAUACGAAGGGGGCUAGCGUUGUUCGGAAUAACUGGGCGUAAAGCGCACGUAGGCGGAUUGUUUAGUGAGGGGUGAAAUCCCGGGGCUCAACCCCGGAACUGCCUUUCAUACUGGCAAUCUAGAGUUCGAGAGAGGUGAGUGGAAUUCCGAGUGUAGAGGUGAAAUUCGCAGAUAUUCGGAGGAACACCAGUGGCGAAGGCGGCUCACUGGCUCGAUACUGACGCUGAGGUGCGAAAGCGUGGGGAGCAA
rnacentral:rRNA from 2 species